GUUCUGGGUUCAUUAUUUUCACAAGGUUUGACAGAAAUAGCCGAGAGAGAGAGAGAGUGUGUGGAAAGAGGGUGAUUUUGAAGGGGAACAAAGAAAAGGGAAGGUUGAUGCAAAGAUUUGGGCUUACACAACUUGGAUUUCAAGAUCUUCACAAGAUUAAGAUUUGAGCUUGGAUUGAAGUGUGGAGAUAAGAGGAGAGGUGGUUGAGUUAGGGUUUGAAGAUUUGGGGCAAGGUUUUUUGAGCUUGGAGGAAUUGUGGUAUUUGGCCUAAACGAGGUGAUAUAGGUACUAGCGCUAGUGCUCCGACUACGGACCAGCGGGGAGGAGCGUGACGCGGAUGGCCUGGACUUGUGAAGGUUUGUUUGGUGUGGUGUUAUGUGGUGGUGCUUAAUUGGUCUUUUGUUUAAAUAUGUAUUAAGAUACAUAUGAGUACGUAUUGUUAUGGAUAGUUUUGGCCUGAGGCCUUAAUAUGUGUAUGAAUAUGGAUUUGUUGAUGGUUAUGGCCUGAGGCCCUGGAUGAUUAAUUUGGUGGUAUGGGAAUUGGUUGGUUUUAAAUUGCUA